rnacentral:rRNA from 1 species
GGCGGUAUGCUUAACACAUGCAAGUCGAACGAAGAUAAAUUAGUGCUUGCACAAUUUUAUACUUAGUGGCGGACGGGUGAGUAACACGUAAGAACCUACCUUUUGGCGAGGGACAACCACUGGAAACGGUGGCUAAUACCUCAUAUAGCUGAGAAGUGAAAGAUGAACAAUCACCAAAAGACGGGCUUGCGUCUGAUUAGCUAGUUGGUAAGGUAAUGGCUUACCAAGGCGACGAUCAGUAGCUGUUCUGAGAGGAUGAUCAGCCACACUGGGACUGAGACACGGCCCAGACUCCUACGGGAGGCAGCAGUGAGGAAUUUUCCGCAAUGGGCGAAAGCCUGACGGAGCAAUACCGCGUGAAGGAUGACGGCCUAUGGGUUGUAAACUUCUUUUCUCAAAGAAGAAUUUUGACGGUAUCUGAGGAAUAAGCAUCGAGCUAACUCUGUGCCAGCAACCGCGGUAAGACAUAAGAUGCAAGCGUUAUCCGGAUUAAUUGGGCGUAAAGCCUCUGUACGUGGGUUAACAAGUCCUUUGUCAAAGAUCAAGGCCUAACCCUGGGCAAGCACAAAGAAUCUAAUGAACUUGAAUUCCGUAGGGGCAAGAGGGAAUUCCCGGUUGGA